CCCUUAGAUGUUCUGGGCUGCACGCGCGCUACACUGACGCACGCAACAGGUGCCUGCUCCGAGAGGACUGGGUAAUCAUUUGAGUGUGCGUCGUGAUGGGGAUAGAAUAUUGUAAUUAUUACUCUUCAACGAGGAAUUCCUAGUAAGCGCCAGUCAGCAGCUUGCGCUGAUUACGUCCCUGCCCUUUGUACACACCGCCCGUCGCUACUACCGAUUGAAUGGUUUAGUGAGAUCUUCGGAUUGGCGCCACUGCGGCUCAGCAAUGGGCUCGGUGGAUGCCGAAAAGUUGAUCAAACUUGAUCAUUUAGAGGAAGUAAAAGUCGUAACA
rnacentral:rRNA from 1 species